rnacentral:rRNA from 1 species
UCUGGUUGAUCCUGCCAGAGGUCACCGCUCUUGGAGUACGAUUAAGCCAUGCGAGUCGCGAGGGGUAAGCCCUCGGCGUACUGCUCAGUAACACGCGGAUAAUCUGCCCUGAGGCGGGGGAUAAGCUCGGGAAACUGAGUAUAAUACCCCAUAGGCUCCGGAAACUGGAAUGUUCUGUAGCUGAAAGCUCCGGCGCCUCAGGAUGAGUCUGCGGCCUAUCAGCCUGUAGUUGGUGUAACGGACCAACUAAGCAUUAACGGGUACGGGCUUUGGGAGAAGUUGCCCGGAGAUGGUUCUGAGACACGAACCCAGUCCCUACGGGGCGCAGCAGGCGCGAAAACUUCGCAAUGUGGGAAACCACGACGAGGGAAUCCCAAGUGCCAACGAUUUUCCGUUGGCUGUUGCCCUGUCUAAAAAACAGGGAGAGUAAGGGCUGGGUAAGACGGGUGCCAGCCGCCGCGGUAAUACCCGCGGCCCGAGUGGUGCUCGUUAUUAUUGGGUUUAAAACGUCCGUAGCCGGUCCGGUAAAUUCUUGGGUAAAUCGACUGGCUUAACCAGUCGAAUUCCGGGGAGACUGCCGGACUCGGGACCGGGGGAGGUCGGAGGUACUUCCAGGGUAGGGGUGAAAUCCUGUAAUCCUGGGGGGACCACCAGUGGCGAAGGCGUCCGACCAGAACGGCUCCGACGGUAAGGGACGAAGCCCUGGGGCGCAAACGGGAUUAGAUACCCCGGUAGUCCAGGGUGUAAACGCUGCGGGCUUGGUGUCGGGGGUCCUAUGAGGGCUCUCGGUGCCGGAGUGAAAAUGUUAAGCCUGCUACCUGGGGAGUACGGUCGCAAGACUGAAACUUAAAGGAAUUGGCGGGGGAGCACCACAAGGGGUGAAGCUUGCGGUUUAAU